rnacentral:rRNA from 1 species
CCCUUAGAUGUUCUGGGCCGCACGCGUGCUACACUGAGUGGAUCAGCGGGUCAGGUUGCGCGAAAGUGUUUCCUAAUCUUGAAAUCCGCUCGUGAUGGGGAUUGACGGUUGCAAUUUUCCGUCAUGAACGGGGAAUACCUUGUAAGCGCGGGUCAUCAUCCCGCGCUGAAUACGUCCCUGCCCUUUGUACACACCGCCCGUCGCUCCUACCGAUUGAGUGGUCCGGUGAGGCUUUGGGAUCUGAGCGGAAAGAGCGUUUCGCUGUUUCUGCUCGGAAAACUCAGUCGAACCUUAUCAUUUAGAGGAAGGAGAAGUCGUAACA